rnacentral:rRNA from 1 species
CGCUGGCGGCGUGCCUAACACAUGCAAGUCGAGCGGGGACAGCGGAGUAGCAAUACGAAGCUGUCUAGCGGCGGACGGGUGAGUAACGCGUGAGCAACCUGUCCCAGUCAGGGGGAUAACGAGCCGAAAGGCUCCCUAAUACCGCAUGAGACCACAGCGCCACAUGGCGCAGGGGUCAAAGGAGAAAAUCCGGACUGGGGUGGGCUCGCGUCUGAUUAGCUAGUUGGUGAGGUAAAGGCCCACCAAGGCGACGAUCAGUAGCCGACCUGAGAGGGUGAUCGGCCACAUUGGAACUGAGACACGGUCCAAACUCCUACGGGAGGCAGCAGUGGGGAAUAUUGGGCAAUGGGGGAAACCCUGACCCAGCAACGCCGCGUGAAGGAAGAAGGUUUUCGGAUCGUAAACUUCUAUCCUUGGUGAAGAUAAUGACGGUAGCCAAGAAGGAAGCCCCGGCUAACUACGUGCCAGCAGCUGC